rnacentral:rRNA from 1 species
UACAUAGGGGGCAAGCGUUGUCCGGAAUCAUUGGGCGUAAAGAGCGUGUAGGCGGUUCGGUAAGUCGGCUGUGAAAGUCCAAGGCUCAACCUUGGGAUGCCGGUCGAUACUGCCGGACUAGAGUUCGGAAGAGGCGAGUGGAAUUCCCGGUGUAGCGGUGAAAUGCACAGAUAUCGGGAGGAACACCUAUGGCGAAGGCGGCUUCCUGGACCAGUACUGACGCUGAGGCGCGAAAGCUAGGGGAGCAAACAGG